GAAACAUAAAAAUCUCCCGUGUGCAUUUAUCAACUAAUGAGACAAUAUUUUUCAGCUAAUUCUUUCUGCAGUGCUGGAAUGGAGAGGUGGGGUCGUGUGGCCUUUCUCACUAUGCUGGGUACAGGGCCUGCCAUCUGUCUUCAUGGCUGUGAUUAAACUCUGACAAAAAGUGAUGCCUUGGGCUUCUUGCUUCAGAAAGUAACUUGAGUGAAAUUGACCCCUGAACUCCAACUUCAUUAAAAUAAGGAAAAAUACUGUGAGUCCAUCAGAUAAAAAGACAUGGACUUCCCUGGUGGUCCAGUGGUUAAGAAUCCACCUGCCAAUGCAGG
rnacentral:lncRNA from 1 species